GGCGGUGUAGCUCAACUGGUAGAGCGGAGGAAUCAUAAUCCUUGUGUUCGGGGUUCAAGUCCCUGCACCGCCA
rnacentral:tRNA from 1 species